UCGAGCGUCCCUGACCCUGAGCGUCGACGCAGCGCAUUGGUGCUGUCACAGGAAAUGGAUAUUUCGUAUAGUUGCAAAGAGUUGCUGAGAGUUUUCGGGUACAUAUAUCGGUUCCAUCUAACGCGCAGCAAAGAUCGGGUUAGGCAUAACCUCUUACAGUCGAUUAAAUUAAAGGCGGUACUCAUCUGCUCAUUAAAGGGAUUCAGCGUGUGCACUUUGCCGAGAAGCAUAUGGCCCUAACUUCGAAGAUGCAGCUGUCGCCAAAGAGCAGACUUCUUUCUUUGAACCCAUUUCUGGAUGAAGGCGUACGCCUUCAAAGUUCUCAGCUGGAUUUCGAUGCCAAGCACCCAAUGAUUCUCCCAAAGUUUCAUCGCGUAACCUCAGCCAGGUUCUGGCCUAUUGGAGGACGAAAAACGGUUUCUGCUGUCAUCAGCAAGUGCAUUCAAUGCUUCAGAUUAAAGCUCAAACUAGUAGAGCACAUCAUGGUGCUGCUCUUAGAGGAUCGUGUUCAGCCGAAACGCCCAUUUGUAAUCGCUGAAGUUGAUUUUUGUUAACCCAUUCAAUUCAUUGUCGGAGGUCAGGAACAGGCCUCCUAUGAAAUGCUACAUAGCCAUUUUCCUUUGUUUCGUCAUUGAGGCUACACACUUGGAAGAAGUCGAGGAUAUUUCAACUCAAUCUUUUAUUGCAGCGCUAAUAAGAUUUAUAAGCCUGAGGGGGGAAGACUCAAACGAUCUGGUCGGACAACGCAACCAAUUUUGUGGGAGCCGAAAAUGAGGUUAUUGAGCCUCGGCAGUUGUUCCUCAGCGAUUCUCAAAGCAGCGAGUUUUGGAGUUCCCUUACUUCGAUGGAAAUUAAGUUUCCCACACUUUGAAGGCUUGUGGGAAGGCGCGAGAACCCAGAUGACAUCGACGUUUUGACGCCUGCUUACUUUCUCAUUUGGUCUACAUUUACCUCAAUGGACGAACCUGACGUCUGACAUGUGUGCCAAAUGCAGCAAAUAUUCCGGCGCAAAUGGAGCACCAUCAACUUUUCGUUGCUGCAGGAGCGAAGCAAAUGGCAAAGGGCAACGAGGAAGUUAACUGUCCUGCCCCUUGAAACCACUUCACUUCGAAGUAUGGCUCUUCCAACGGGGGGAGCAUGUCAGGAGCAAUCACUUAAUUGAAGUAAAAUCACUGAUUGUUUGUUAUUUGGUCAGCAUCACUGACAACAAGAAUGUAAACAAAGGAUUCCUGAAUUAUCUAUUUUGUAUGCGUGCACGUAUGGAUAAGAUGAGAUAAGCGCGUUCAGUCGCUGAUCUCCGCUCAUCUUGCAUUCGCUCGUUAUCGUUUUCGGAACUCAGUCGCAUCGCUGCAGAAAUAAACACUUACAUAAAAA